CCAGACUCCUACGGGAGGCAGCAGUGGGGAAUAUUGCACAAUGGGGGAAACCCUGAUGCAGCAACGCCGCGUGAGUGAGGAAGUAUUUCGGUAUGUAAAGCUCUAUCAGCAGGGAAUAGAAAAGAAGGUACCUGACUAAGAAGCCCCGGCUAACUACGUGCCAGCAGCCGCGGUAAUACGUAGGGGGCAAGCGUUAUCCGGAUUUACUGGGUGUAAAGGGGGCGCAGACGGCAGCGCAAGCCAGGAGUGAAAGCCCGGGGCCCAACCCCGGGACUGCUCUUGGAACUGCGCGGCUGGAGUGCAGGAGGGGCAGGCGGAAUUCCUGGUGUAGCGGUGAAAUGCGUAGAUAUUAGGAGGAACACCAGUGGCGAAGGCGGCCUGCUGGACGAUGACUGACGCUGAGGCUCGAAAGCGUGGGGAGCAAACAGGAUUAGAUACCCCCGUA
rnacentral:rRNA from 1 species